CAAUAGUUAUGACUCCAUCUUUGGUUGUCCAAAUAAAAUUAGUCUGCUUUCUAUCCAUCAUUCUUUGAUAUAACAUCUGUUGCACAUAAUUGUUGGUACUUGGUCAUUGAAAAUAUCAAACAAGAUAGAUAAACUUAUGGUCACUGGCCAUGCCUCUAUUUAUGAUGCAAAUGACAAAGUGCCAACGAAUGGUCUCUGCUCAGGCAUUGCCAUUGAUCAGGUUGUGCCAAUAUCACCUAGUUUGCUAUUGGCCUAAAAGAUUGUAUCUUAACCUUGAAAGGUUAUACAUUUAUAUAAUAUGCAAAGAAAAGUUUCAGCAUUUUCUUGACAUCAUCUGCAUUUGGGACUAUCAGUAAUCCCAAUUAAGUGAAGAUAUCUCAUAUGAUGACAAUUCUCUGUAAGGAGC
rnacentral:lncRNA from 1 species